rnacentral:rRNA from 1 species
AUUAAACGCUGGCGGCAUGCCUUACACAUGCAAGUCGAACGGCAGCACGGGGGCAACCCUGGUGGCGAGUGGCGAACGGGUGAGUAAAGCAUCGGAACGUGCCCUGGAGUGGGGGAUAACGUAGCGAAAGUUACGCUAAUACCGCAUAUUCUGUGAGCAGGAAAGCAGGGGAUCGCAAGACCUUGCGCUCUGGGAGCGGCCGAUGUCGGAUUAGCUAGUUGGUGGGGUAAAGGCCUACCAAGGCGACGAUCCGUAGCGGGUCUGAGAGGAUGAUCCGCCACACUGGGACUGAGACACGGCCCAGACUCCUACGGGAGGCAGCAGUGGGGAAUUUUGGACAAUGGGCGAAAGCCUGAUCCAGCCAUGCCGCGUGAGUGAAGAAGGCCUCGGUU